rnacentral:siRNA from 1 species
UUCGCACCGGAAAGGCUUGUCA